UCGUCUCAGCCUCAGCAUAAAGAUAGCCCACAUGCCACCAGUGCUUCGUCAAAAACAUCCAAAUUUCCACCAACAGCCCGUGUCCAGCCUCAACAAAAGCACAGACGCCUGCUAGAAAUGUAUCAUCGACCAGAUCCAAACUCCUCGCAACAGGGAGUGCGCAUAAGCUUCGGCCACACAAGGUCAGGCAAUACAAUUGAAUGACAUGCCCUCUCAGUGCAACAUCCGCCUAAUAACACGCCCAAGCUUAGAGAUCAACUCCA
rnacentral:lncRNA from 1 species